rnacentral:rRNA from 1 species
UGGGGAAUAUUGCACAAUGGGCGCAAGCCUGAUGCAGCCAUGCCGCGUGUAUGAAGAAGGCCUUCGGGUUGUAAAGUACUUUCAGUCGGGAGGAAGGUGGUAAGGUUAAUAACCUUGGCAAUUGACGUUACCGACAGAAGAAGCACCGGCUAACUCCGUGCCAGCAGCCGCGGUAAUACGGAGGGUGCAAGCGUUAAUCGGAAUUACUGGGCGUAAAGCGCACGCAGGCGGUUGAUUGAGUCAGAUGUGAAAUCCCCGGGCUUAACCCGGGAAUUGCAUCUGAUACUGGUCAGCUAGAGUCUUGUAGAGGGGGGUAGAAUUCCAUGUGUAGCGGUGAAAUGCGUAGAGAUGUGGAGGAAUACCAGUGGCGAAGGCGGCCCCCUGGACAAAGACUGACGCUCAGGUGCGAAAGCGUGGGGAGCAAACAGG